UAAGCGAAUAAUGAAAGAGUGUGGCUUAACCAUAUAAACAUUAUUCGAACUGCUCAACUAGAGAAUGGAAGAGGUAGCUGGAAUUACUAGUGGAGGAGUAAUAUCCGUAGAUAUUAGUAAGAACACCAAUGGCGAAGGCAGGCUACUGGUCCAUUUCUGACGCCCAGGCACGAAAGCGUAGGUAGCAAACAGGAUUAGAUACCCUGGUAGUCUACGCCGUAAACGAUGGAUACUA
rnacentral:rRNA from 1 species